GCGAAGCAAAGAUUUAUGCUCGCGCCGAUUUGUAAUAAAAAUAAAAUAAAAGUAGAAAGAUAUAUAUAUAUAUAAACGACGACGAGAAAAUUAUACAAUCCUUCUCUCUCCUCCCCAACGCGUUUCCUAACAUUAAGACCAGCAGGAUGCAAGAAACGUAUCAUUAAUCAGGCCAAGCGGACAGUAAAUAUUUAACCGGGAAUCGGGUUGGGAUCGGAAUCGCGUUACGCGAGGGAAAAAUCGGGGAAUGGUGGCAAGAUUUGCGGACGCGAGUCUCGGCAAAACAGCGAUUAGGGAAUGGGGGGAGGGGGGAGGAAGAGUGACAGGACAGGAGGAGCAGGAAGGGGUGAGCGUUUCUUGGCCCGUCGUGGACCAAGCUUGGUCGCUUUUCUUGCCACGGGUUACUCUUGUGCCGCGUACGACACAAAUAGCGUAUGAUUGAGUGAGCGCCGCGAGGGAUUUCCACGAGGAAGGGGAGGGAGAAACGUGGAAUAGGAGAAGGAUGGGGGAGGGGGAAGAAAAGAAAGGAAAGGAAAAGAAAUAAUGGCGGGGAGAAAACGUCGACGUUUAGUCGCUGCGAGGGAAAAGGCGCCCUGUCGCGCCUCGCGGGAGCGUAACCACCCCUUCCAGACAAUCGACCAUGUUCGAAUUUCUUCACCCUCCUUCAGAUUUUUUCCUCUCUCCCCUCUUUCCUUGUCUCGCAGAGUUGUUUCGCUCGUACGAUUAAUUCGGUUAGAAUUCCGAGCUCUCUUUUUUUUCUCUGCUAAAAAAAAUAUAUCCAUCUUCGCCUCACUUUAAGUAAAGUAAAUAAUAUGUUUCUUAUUUCUUUUUUGACCAAUUUGAGAUUGAGUCUGUUGGCAAAGGUUAAAAAGUAUGUAUAAUGAGAGAGAGAUUGGAAAAUUUUGAAAAGAAAUAUUAUAUUGUUUUUCGAAGAAUGUUACGCGUGUAUGCAGGGUGCAAUGACUCUUGGAACUCUUAUUGUCAGCCUCACCCUCAUCCACGAGCAACAUCUUCCGGUAAUUCCCCGCCUCUAUGACGAGUCUCUCUUUCUCCCUCUCUCUCUCUCGCUCUCUUGUUUUUCCGCGUUCGUCCAUUCGAGCGGAUUUUUAUUUGCCGCGGCGGUAGUAUGCGCCUCCGGAGUGGUAAUCCGCCUCGGAUUUCUCGAAUUUCUUUUUCUGUCUGCGCGUCUUCUUGCGGCUUUCUCUUUUUUCGGGAUAGGAGAGGGGCUCCCCCCCUUCUUUGUGAGUCCAUCGGCGCGGACUGACAGGUGGAAAUGGACGAUUAAGCGGCCGACAAUUCCGCAAGGAAUUGUCUGUCCCGAAAAAACAAGCGCGGCUUGUCGCGGUUCGAUGAUAAAUUCGUUGGUUCGAUGAUAUAUCACGCGAGAUCCUUCCUUUCUUUCUCUCUUCUUUUCUCUUUUUUUUCGAACAAUCUUUACCCGAUUCAGUAAAGAUCGUUAACUGUUUCCUCCCAUUGCACAGGUGAUUAAACAAAUUUUUCACGGCUUCGUCCCGUCUAUCUGAUAAUCUUACACUUGUUAAUUACGGAAUAACAUUUAUAUCUCUUGUCUAACCUAACCUAUUAAAAUAUUUGAAUUACUCGAUCUCUCAAUCGAUUAAAAAUUAGAGGAAAUUAAGAGAUCUCUAUUUUCCAAAGACCUUUACCUUAGAAUUACGUGUUCUUGUGAUGGGGCACGUAUGGAAAGAGAGACAGAGAUGUUCGAAAGCUCGCGAGAGGGAACGAAACGGAGAAGAGGAGGGAGGAGGGAAGAGAUAUUAUUUAUGGGGCGGUUGGAUGGGUGGGUGCCGGCGUGCCAUGCAUAGACAGCACCUCGUUCUGGCCGGCGGACGAAUGGCUCGUUCUCUGCCCGCAAAUGUACGGAAAUGCCGGUCGAGAGCUAUUUCUUAAUAUUCGCCGAUAUCGCUAGAUCCUCCCCUCCUACCCCGGGGUUGAACGUGCCUUUUGUACGUUUCCAUAGAAACCCGAUGUCGCCGCGGAUUCUGCCUCUCUCUCUCUCUCCUUUAACGUGCACCUCGAUUAUGAUUGUGUAUCGAUAAGAGAAGAAAGGAGAAACAGGCUUGGAAGGAUCGGAAAAUUGCGACGCACGUUAAUUUUUAUAUAUAAGAUGAGACGAGAAAUAAAAGUAAAUUUCAAAAGUCAACGAAGGAAUCGUUGAUCCUUAUUUAUUUAUUUAAUUAUCAUCCCACUUGAAUAAGUUAUUACUCGAGAAUAACUAUGAAAUAUUUCGAAUUAUAUCGUUUCAAAGGUGGAUGAUUCGGAUUGAGAGAAUACAAAAAAAAAGGAAGGAGAAUUUCUUCAGAUUCUCUCGACAUAGAAACAUAUCGUUGUCGCGAUAUCCCGGUACCAUCGUUGAAAUGUAAGGGAGGCCGAAGUUCCAGGGAGGAUGCAGCUUUUCAGAAGAGCUUUUACGAGUCGCAUAUGUGGCCGCCGUCUCUUUCAUCCCUCGCUUUAUAUUCCUGGCACCGUGUUCACCAUCCCCCUCCUCCUCUUCCAGCUUCCUCUUCCACUGCGAAACGGCCGACCAACCCUCGGCGACCUUCCACUGUCAGGAGAGGAACCAAGCAGCCACCCCCCUCGAACCGAAGAAGAAAUCUUUCUUCAUAUUCGCUGGGGAGUGAUCGUUCGACAUACAACGUAACAAAUUUCCAGCUCCUUCGAGGCCUCCUUCGAACGCGCAUUUAAAUCGUCCCCCUUUCCCUCUCCCCGAACGAUCUUCCCUCCUUUCGUAUCCUCAAGGAUCAACCCUCGCGAUGGGCAGGGAUGAUGGGAUGUCGGGGAGGGGGUUCCAGCUUUUUCUCCACGAAGCAUGGUCGACCGCCACGACCGUCCAGGGACCGAUUUUUCCCACGCACAAUUUACAGUUUCACAUUUUAUUCCCAUCGCGCGUUCGACAACUCGUGGAUGGCGGAGGAUAAACUCGUUUCAACCCUCGCCGAUCAUCUUUCCCCUCCUUUCCGCUCCGGUUGCGGGGGUGUAGUUGGAUGGAGAAUGUUUUUGGAGAAACGGUUGGUCGUGUUACGAGCUCUCUCUCUAGGAUUUUUACGGGUGUUUCGAUUUGCUGUUUCUUGGUAAAUUUCUUCUUCUUUUUUCUUUUUGGAAUAUUGAAUUAUUUUUUGAAUAUUAUUUCCGAAGAGAGUGUCGAUUGGAUUCUUGUUCUUUUCUUCGUUUAAUUACUUUUUCUCGAAAACAAUAUUUAUAAAGGAGAAAAAAGAAAAAAAGAUUGAAAAAUUAAUCGAGCGUCGAUUGUUAUAGAUGUUUUUCGCAGACGAGGAGGAUCGAGAUUCCAAUGAUCUCAGCCAAGUUAUCGGAAGAUGGUCGAAAAGCAAAGAUGGUUUCGCGCAAGAAAGCGAGGAGGGAAGCAUGGUCACCUCGAUUAAUUCUUUAUCGAUUGGUCGCGGCGCGAGAAGAAGAGAUACGGGCAAAAAGGGUGUUCUCCCCGUGCGGAUGCAAACGAUCGGAUGGUGGAAGAAAUCGGUGCUUUUUUGCAACGAAGAAAUCGUAUCCUUUCGUAUCCUACCUCGUCAUGCCGAGGUAAAUCAAAAGAAAAGCUAAGCAACGAUCCUCUGCAUCCAUCUGCAUUUAUUCAUUGGAACAUCCAACAUUGGUUCCACGGAUCGGAUCGUACGCGAUGGAUCGAAUCGAAGAAUGUCGUCUGGUAAGAAGAUCGACGAGAGAAGGAAGAAGAGGAGGAGGAGGAACGCGGAAAAUAAGUGGGAGCGAGGAAACAAAUCGUAAUGACCGAGGGGUUACACAGUUGUACAGUUACAAGGAGGAAAUCUUCCCACGACUCGUGAAAGAGGAAAGAUCUAAUUUUCGAUCAGUAUGGAUUCAAAGAUUCGACGGCCAUUUUGGGAAGACGUGAUAGAGAAGAACACGUCAUUGUGACAUUCGAUUCAGGAUUGGGAUCUCAGUUUCAGAAUUGUCACUAUGGAUAACGGUGGAUCGUAAAAUUGUUAAGAAACAUCAUCAUCUUUCGGCUCCCAGUCAAAAUUACAGAGAACAAUGUCUAAAUCUUAACUUACUCGCGUAAAAUCUUUCGACGAUCACGCAAAUUGCCAUCGAUUGUCCCGGAUUAUGACAUCAUGAAAAUUUAACUGCAACCGGAAGUCAAUGACGAGCGGAAUAAACGGAUGGAAGAAACGAGAAUUCGAGGAAGCAUCAUUACGAGUAAAAAAUUUCAUAACGAAACGGAUAGAAGAGGAAGAGUUAUUAACCAAGGGAAAGAGAGAGGGAGAGAGAAAAAUAUUACGCACAUACAUCAUUUUCGACAAUCAGUAUAUCGAAUAUUCAUCCCAAAUUUAUUAAAGAAAGGUUUCAUGCAUUUCAAGAAAUUUUAAAUAUUCGUUUCUCGUGGCUUUUGUUUAUAUUAUUUAAUUCUAGAACAAUUUAUUUCCGUCAGGUUAUCGAAAUAAAUUCUUACUUUAUUUUUCCAUUCGAUUCUCAUUCUCCAAAUUACUUAUAUUUUCUUAUAUCUAGA